rnacentral:rRNA from 1 species
AGUGAACGCUGGCGGUAGGCCUAACACAUGCAAGUCGAACGGCAGCACAGUAAGAGCUUGCUCUUACGGGUGGCGAGUGGUGGACGGGUGAGGAAUACAUCGGAAUCUACUUUUUCGUGGGGGAUAACGUAGGGAAACUCACGCUAAUACCGCAUACGACCUACGGGUGAAAGCAGGGGAUCUUCGGACCUUGCGCGAUUGAAUGAGCCGAUGUCGGAUUAGCUAGUUGGCGGGGUAAAGGCCCACCAAGGCGACGAUCCGUAGCUGGUCUGAGAGGAUGAUCAGCCACACUGGAACUGAGACACGGUCCAGACUCCUACGGGAGGCAGCAGUGGGGAAUAUUGGACAAUGGGCGCAAGCCUGAUCCAGCCAUACCGCGUGGGUGAAGAAGGCCUUCGGGUUGUAAAGCCCUUUUGUUGGGAAAGAAAAGCAGCAGGUUAAUACCCCGCUGUUCUGACGGUACCCAAAGAAUAAGCACCGGCUAACUUCGUG